rnacentral:lncRNA from 1 species
ACAGAGGACAGCCCCUGAAGGCAUAAGCAGGAAGGGCAUAAUGCUUUCCAAAAGAGAAAACUACAUGGACUUUACUGACUCAUCACUGAGUUCUGAGAUCACUGACACUUACACAUGUGUCCACGCUGUUGUGAGUCAUGGGGAAAAAUGGAGGAGCAAAAUGACCAAGUGGCAGGGUCUGUAAGAGUCUCUCACUGUAGGGAUGGGCUGCCCUGAGGAGACACUGCCCAGGCCUGGGUGCCCCGGGCCAAAGUCCUGACCCUUGCAGGGCUGUGUCCUGUGGAUGACAUGUGGCACUGGACUGCUCACUGACAGGAGGAGAUAAUCAUGGCUGCGCAUUGGGAC